CCUGUCCAACGUUAAUCGGGGCAGGGUGAGUCGACCCCUAAGGCGAGGCCGAAAGGCGUAGUCGAUGGGAAACAGGUUAAUAUUCCUGUACUUGGUGUUACUGCGAAGGGGGGACGGAGAAGGCUAUGUCAGCCGGGCGACGGUUGUCCCGGUUUAAGCAUGUAGGCGGAGGUUCCAGGUAAAUCCGGUACCUUGUUAACGCUGAGGUGUGAUGACGAGGCACUACGGUGCUGAAGUGAUAAAUGCCCUGCUUCCAGGAAAAGCCUCUAAGCAUCAGGUAACACGAAAUCGUACCCCAAACCGACACAGGUGGUCAGGUAGAGAAUACCAAGGCGCUUGAGAGAACUCGGGUGAAGGAACUAGGCAAAAUGGUGCCGUAACUUCGGGAGAAGGCACGCUGAUAGGUAGGUGAAGUCCCUGCGGACGGAGCUGAAAUCAGUCGAAGAUACCAGCUGGCUGCAACUGUUUAUUAAAAACACAGCACUGUGCAAACACGAAAGUGGACGUAUACGGUGUGACGCCUGCCCGGUGCCGGAAGGUUAAUUGAUGGGGUCAGCGGCAACGCGAAGCUCUUGAUCGAAGCCCCGGUAAACGGCGGCCGUAACUAUAACGGUCCUAAGGUAGCGAAAUUCCUUGUCGGGUAAGUUCCGACCUGCACGAAUGGCGUAAUGAUGGCCAGGCUGUCUCCACCCGAGACUCAGUGAAAUUGAACUCGCUGUGAAGAUGCAGUGUACCCGCGGCAAGACGGAAAGACCCCGUGAACCUUUACUAUAGCUUGACACUGAACACUGGUCCUUGAUGUGUAGGAUAGGUGGGAGGCUUUGAAGCGUGGACGCCAGUCUGCGUGGAGCCAACCUUGAAAUACCACCCUUUAAUGGCUGGUGUUCUAACGUAGACCCGUAAUCCGGGUUGCGGACAGUGUCUGGUGGGUAGUUUGACUGGGGCGGUCUCCUCCCAAAGAGUAACGGAGGAGCACGAAGGUUGGCUAAUCCUGGUCGGACAUCAGGAGGUUAGUGCAAUGGCAUAAGCCAGCUUGACUGCGAGCGUGACGGCGCGAGCAGGUGCGAAAGCAGGUCAUAGUGAUCCGGUGGUUCUGAAUGGAAGGGCCAUCGCUCAACGGAUAAAAGGUACUCCGGGGAUAACAGGCUGAUACCGCCCAAGAGUUCAUAUCGACGGCGGUGUUUGGCACCUCGAUGUCGGCUCAUCACAUCCUGGGGCUGAAGUAGGUCCCAAGGGUAUGGCUGUUCGCCAUUUAAAGUGGUACGCGAGCUGGGUUUAGAACGUCGUGAGACAGUUCGGUCCCUAUCUGCCGUGGGCGCUGGAGAAUUGAGGGGGGCUGCUCCUAGUACGAGAGGACCGGAGUGGACGCAUCACUGGUGUUCGGGUUGUCAUGCCAAUGGCACUGCCCGGUAGCUAAAUGCGGAAGAGAUAAGUGCUGAAAGCAUCUAAGCACGAAACUUGCCCCGAGAUGAGUUCUCCCUGAGACUUUAAGUCUCCUGAAGGAACGUUGAAGACGACGACGUUGAUAGGUCGGGUGUGUAAGCGCAGCGAUGCGUUGAGCUAACCGAUACUAAUGAACCGUGAGGCUUAACCUU
rnacentral:rRNA from 2 species